rnacentral:rRNA from 1 species
UACGAAGGGGGCUAGCGUUGCUCGGAAUUACUGGGCGUAAAGGGAGCGUAGGCGGAUAGUUUAGUCAGAGGUGAAAGCCCAGGGCUCAACCUUGGAAUUGCCUUUGAUACUGGCUAUCUUGAGUACGGAAGAGGUAUGUGGAACUCCGAGUGUAGAGGUGAAAUUCGUAGAUAUUCGGAAGAACACCAGUGGCGAAGGCGACAUACUGGUCCGUUACUGACGCUGAGGCUCGAAAGCGUGGGGAGCAAACGGGG